rnacentral:pre_miRNA from 1 species
CAACUUUCAUCCUACACCGUUAGAUCGAGAAAUGGACGUUCGAGAUUCGUCCACGUCACCAUGAGUUAAAAUUUAACUUCCAGUAAAUUUUAACUCAUGAGUGAAUCUGCGAGUUAAAUUUUAAAUCAUGGUGACGUGGACGAAUCUCGGACGUCCAUUUCUCGAUUCAACGGUGUAGGAUGAGAGUUA